GCAAGAUUGCAGAUGUCUGGUCGUGUGGAGUGACAUUGUAUGUCAUGUUAGUGGGUGCUUACCCUUUUGAGGAUCCUGAUGAACCAAAAGAUUUUCGGAAGACGAUCAAUAGGAUCCUGAGCGUGCAGUAUUCUGUUCCUGAGAACAUUCAGAUAUCUGAGGAAUGUCGCCACUUAAUCUCAAGGAUCUUUGUUGGAGAUCCGGCACAGAGGAUCACAAUGCCUGAAAUCAGGAAUCAUGUAUGGUUUUUGAAGAAUCUUCCAGCGGACUUAAUAGACGAUAGGAUGAUUAGUGAUCAGUUUGAAGAACCCGAUCAACCAAUGCAGAGCAUUGAUACGAUCAUGCAAAUAAUCUCAGAGGCAACAGUACCACCAAUUGGCUUGUAUAACUUGGAAAUGAUGGACGAUGACAUGGAUGACUUGGAUUCAGAGCCUGAUCUUGAUAUUGAUAGCAGCGGGGAGAUCAUAUAUGCAAUGUGAGUGCAUGCCAAGCUUGUGAAAAGGAAGUUGUAUCCACAAUCUUAGAACAUUUCUGGACUUGUUGGUGUGCAAGGCUUAGAGAUUGUUGAAGCUCAGUAACAUGAAAAUGGGGUAUUUACAAUGUUUGUAAUUAGUCAAGUUCUUAUCCUGAAAGGGGCUUUUAGUCUGCCCAUGAAUUAUUUCUUCUAUUACCAUAGGAGGAAUUGGCUGAAAAAGUAAUGGAGUUUCCAUACUUGAGUUCAUAAUCUCUUUAUAAUGUCAUACAGUGUUGUUCUUUUGUAACUCUGUACUUUCUUAUAUGCGUUUGUGUCAAAACAAAUUAUGUGCUCUUUCUG
rnacentral:misc_RNA from 1 species